UACGUAGGUGGCAAGCGUUGUCCGGAUUUACUGGGCGUAAAGAGCGCGCAGGCGGUUAUUCAAGUCGAAUGUGAAAGCCCCCGGCUUAACUGGGGAGGGUCAUUCGAUACUGUUUAACUUGAAGGCAGGAGAGGGUAGUGGAAUUCCCGGUGUAGUGGUGAAAUGCGUAGAUAUUGGGAGGAACACCAGUGGCGAAGGCGGUCCCCUGGGCCGGAACUGACGCUGAGGCGCGAAAGCGUGGGUAGCAAACGGG
rnacentral:rRNA from 1 species